AUUACAUAUCGCGGGUUGGACGACUCACGUUAGUUUUCGUACAGUAUUUCCGCAUGUAGCCAAUAGAGUAUUGCGAUAGCGAGAUAGCUAAUUAAUACAAACGUUCUAUAGAAACGAAACCCGAUAACCCCUAGUUAACAUAUAACAAAUUCGCAUAAAGCAGAUAAAUUAUCAGGAUGUGUCUGCAGCAUACAAUUAAUACUCCAGAUACGCAGUCAUAAUAAUCUUCCUGAUCGUAUCAGAAAGCAUUUUUUUUUUAAGUAAUGAACUUCCGCUCUCAUUCACUCUUUUUAAACUUUACUUCCUUCGUGUCUCUCUUCCCGACAAGAGUAUGUAUAU